rnacentral:rRNA from 1 species
GUGCCAGCAGCCGCGGUGAUACGGAGGGGGCAAGCGUUGUUCGGAAUUACUGGGCGUAAAGGGCGCGUAGGCGGCGAUCUUAGUCAGGCGUGAAAGCCCCGGGCUUAACCUGGGAACUGCGCUUGAUACUGGGUUGCUAGAGUGCGGGAGAGGAUGGUGGAAUUCCCAGUGUAGAGGUGAAAUUCGUAGAUAUUGGGAAGAACACCGGUGGCGAAGGCGGCCAUCUGGACGGUGACUGACGCUGAGAUGCGAAAGCGUGGGGAGCAAACAGGAUUAGAUACCCUGGUAGUCCACGCUGUAAACGUUGGGUGCUAGGUGUCGCGGGUAUUGACCCCUGCGGUGCCGACGCUAACGCAUUUAGCACCCGCCUGGGGAGUACGGCGCAAGGCUAAAACUCAAAUGAAUUGACGG